UAUAAGCCUGCAUGUACAUACAUGUAGGAGGUGAACUUGCAAACUGGUUGGUAUCACAAAGGAAUUAAUUAGAAAGAUGCAUUGUAAUUAUAUUCAUAGAACUCCGAUAACUGCAAACAAGUGGUAACUACCUUCACUAUAAAAAGGCCCUGCAAGACUUCAACAUUGUCAUUGUCUUGUAAUACACAUUUUUGGAAGGCUCUCUUUCUAGAGGCCUACAUGAAUAACAAAAUAACCACUUUCCUAUAGCCUCUACACAGGCUCUCCUUUUUCUGCACAAUCGUUCCUAAAAAUAGCUAACCACACAUACAGGGCAGUUUAUACUAAGUCCUGGUAGGUCUUGAAUAGAAGAUAGAUCUUGAAUAAAAUUGAGCAAUAAUUUAGAACCACAAUGUACCUGUGCUGGACAUGAUGAAGCAUGAUGUAUGAUAUAAUAGUAAGGGGCUGCAUGGUCAUACUAACCACAGAAACAACAGAGCUCAGCUACUGAAUGCUAUAAAGGUUACACAGAACAGGAAACUAUUCAGAUCUCAUGCACCAAGUUGUAUCAGAGAGCAAGAUUUCACAGUGCAAUCAGCAUGGACGAAGAGAAACUUGAAGAACAGGCUGCAGGCUGCCAGAGUACGACUCGGCCUCUACUCCAAAGAUGUCUUGUGGUAACUCAUUUAGAAGAAAUGGGUCGUAUACGUACCCCUUCUGAUGAGGGAGGCUAUAAAUUGGUUGCUUCUUAUGUAUAAUGGUUCCAUAUCCCAUGUUCUGUUAUGGUAGUCAGCAUCUUCUUUCAGUACUGAGGCGACUAACCACCCCCCAGCUGAUAAUGGUCUGUUUGUAUUCCGGUUUUGAAACUAAUCUUGCCUGGAAACAAGUACAUACAACUUUCAUACACAUUGAAGUACGAGAACAAGACAUCUACCGAAUUGGCUCGAUCCAAAUCAAUAAGGGUUGGUACAUAGUUAGCAUUAAACAAAUAGUCUGACAUCAUUGUGCGAAACACUCAUAUCAUGUACUUCAUUUAGUGCGGCCUUGAUUCCUUCGACCAAUUCCCUACAACAAGACUUAGCUUCCGAUUUGAGUACGAGGACACUUCAGUGGUGGUGGAUGGUAAUAUGAUAACAUCGAGGAUCCCCGCUGACCUCCCAAGCUAUUUUAGCUAACUUCUAUGCAGGCAACAAAGUAACUGAACAACUCACUUUUAGACUAAUGUUCUCGUUUCCCAAGCCCUCGACGAAGAAGUCUAGCCCCAUAGACGUAUUUCAACCCGCCAUUGUGCUAGACUUGCUUCAAAUCGCUCCAAAUCACAUGCAUCUCCAUCGAGGUCCAGGUUCCUGAGACACUCGUCGUCAUGGUUAUUAGAACUCCCUGGAAAAACAGUAACCAUAACUAUGAACCUGCAUACUAAGUAGUUUACACGAAACUUGAAAGCUGUUAUAACUGAUGUAGCUGUAUUGCAGUACAAUUGUUUUGUGCAUGUGGUUUUGUAUAGUUCUAUGUAUUUCCGAAUUAAGUAUGUA